rnacentral:rRNA from 1 species
AUGGUGGCUGAUGCGCAGAGCUCAGAUUCAAUGGCUGGCAGGUCAAGUUAUGCUGCCGAAAAGCACGUUGACAGGUGUCUUGACAAAAGAGCCCAGGAAAAGGCUCCAAAGAAAAAUCAUAAAGCUGAACGAGAGAAACUUAAACGUGACCAGUUGAAUGACCUUUUUGUUGAGCUCAGCAGUAUGCUAGAUCAUGAUCGACAAAAUAGGGGAAAAGCUACAGUAUUGGGUGAUGCUGCACGAGUACUGCGAGAUUUAACUACUCAAGUUGAAUCUCUUAGAAAGGAGCAAUCUACUCUUCUAACUGAGCGCCAAUAUGUCGGUUCAGAGAAGACCGAGCUGCAAGAUGAGAAUACUACACUCAGAGCCCAGGUAAUAGAACUACAGAACGAGCUUCGUGCAAGGAUCGGAAACAGUAGCCUGAAUCUAAGCAGCCUUGUGGUGUCACAUCCAAUAGGGAGCAGCUGCACUACUAAUUUAGCAACCCACCCAACGCCGCAUGAUACAUGGAGCAAUGUUUCUAAUUUAAGCACCAUGAGCAUGGUGGCCCCAACCAACACACCAUCUCCACUGCAGAAUCAGCAGCAUCACUCUGUUGCUUCUGGUCAGGUUGCAUUACGGCCUCAGGAGCUCCAGCUCUUCCCGGGGACAUCAGCAUCAUCGGACCGAGAAUGUUCCCGGCAUAGAAGCAACCCAGCUACUUCGAGCCUUGCGGAUUCCUUGCCUGGACAGCUUCGCCUCAGCCUUCCACCAACAUCCCAAGAAGAAAGCAGCGGGGGCGGUGGCGCACCGGGAAAUAGAAAAGAACGAAAAACCAGUUAG